rnacentral:misc_RNA from 1 species
GAUGAAGAACGUAGCGAAAUGCGAUACUUGGUGUGAAUUGCAGAAUCCCGUGAACCAUCGAGUCUUUGAACGCAAGUUGCGCCCGAAGCCACUAGGCCGAGGGCACGCCUGCCUGGGCGUCACACGCCGUUGCCCCCCCAUCUACUCCUUCGGGAUUGCGGGGGGGCGGAUGAUGGCCUCCCGUGCGCCUAGCCGCGCGGUUGGCAUAAAUACCAAGUCCUCGGCGACGCACGCCACGACAAUCGGUGGUUGCGAAACCUCGGUUGCCCGUCGUGUGCGUUCGUCGCGCAUCGAGGGCUCGAAAAAAUGCUCGGCUCCGGCUGGGCUUUCAACGCGACCCCAGGUCAGGCAGGGUUACCCGCUGAAUUUAAGCAUAUCAAUAAGCGGAGGA